CAGGGUCAGAUGGCAGCAGUCUGCCCAUCCUGCACACAGUCCGACCUUGCUGCUGACGCACUGCUCCCCAGAAUCCCAGAUAAAGUUACCAGUAUCUGGAACAAAGUCAAUGGGGUACCUUUUAAUUCACUCAGAAAUGGAUAACUUCUGUCAGUGGUGUGUACUAGGGGAAGUACUGGAAGAUAUGCAGGGAUAGAAGUGGAAGGAGAAAACGUUGGAGCAGGAUGCGUGGUUUAGUCAUCUGUGUUGCUGAGAUCAUCACACAAAGGAAGAGGAAAUUCAUGUCUGAAGAUCUUGUGAAAGGUUAUCAUCAUCAUGACAGAAAUUAGUUGAGAAACGUGUUGAAUACGUCUCUAUGAAUACAAAUUUAAGAAGAGUGUGAGCCUUUCAUUUGUGUGAAAUGUCUUCUGCAAACUGUAACACGUAGCUAUUGUGAGCCAAUGGAGCAGAUUGUUCCCCUCACUCCUCCUCCAAAGGAAUUGCUGAGGUGGUUGUGCAGCAAGCCCAACUUCAGUCUGGUGUUAUGUGUUGAGAAUAACGAAGGCCUGGAGUGGUUUGCAUCCCAUGCCUGCUGUUUUUGCACCCAUGGUACCACUAGACUGAAAGUGAUUGAAGGAAGUUAAAAGUUGCCUUGCUCUGUGUCAGUUGGUGCCUGCAGGAUGUCACCUUGAAGCUGUGGGAUGGUCAGAAUAUUCUGGUCUAUUGCUCCCCCGUGGAAAGCAUCAGCGUGCACGGAGGCUGAAAGUCCAAGGCAGCUGCGUCCCCACCUGCCAUCAAACUGGGGGAGCCAUUAAUUGAUCGCCUCAUGCUGUGUUCAGGGUUGUACUCAGUUGUCAGGGAGGACAGUUUCACAUAAGUGGGUGCUUUGAAGGCGGUUUUGUUCCUACCAUUGAGCUCUG